CCGUUUCAACGUAAAUCGACUCUAAAAUAUGAAUAAGAUAAAAUUGCAGUCGUAUAAUAAAUUAUUUAAAUAUUUUAUAUUAUAUCAUAUUUUAUCUGAUGGUAUUAAUUAUUAAAUACUGUAUCAAUCAUAUAGUAUGUUGUUAUGUUCAUGGGUAUAUAAAAUAUUAGUACGCAUAGAUGCAAGCAAAUAUUUCUCCUCUCAUUUGGAAGUGACAAAGCCACAUUUAUUAUGUAUUAAUUCACUAACUAAUGGCGCGAAAAAUUAGGGCCCUGUUUGGUUCGGGGUUUAUUCUGCCAAACGGAAUGAUUUUUUGCCAGUAUAUUUUAUCUCGGUCAAAUCAUAUUAUUUUCGGCUAUUCCAGAAUUGCUUGGGAUUCACUAUUUCAUCAUUUUGGUGGGAUAGUGUUAUUCUAAUGUUUAUUUCAAACUUUAUUAAAAUUAUAAAUUAAAUUAAAACUAAAUUAUAAAAAUAUAAUAUGUUAUAUAUUAUAAUAUAUUAUUUUUAUUAUAAAAUUAUUACUUGUACAAAUAUUAAUACAUAUUAUUUAUAUUUAAAUAUUAUAAUAAAUUAUUUUUAUUAAAUUUAAGUUUAAGUAGAAUUUUGAAAAAAAAAAUUAUAAAUUUAUUAAAAAAUUUAUUUUUAUCAAAUUUAUAAAUUUAUUAUAACAAAUUAUUUUCAUUAAUUGUUCUCACCCCUAUUCUUAUUUUUAAAUNUUAAAAUUUAUAAUUUGUAAUCUCAAAUUUAAAGUUUAUAAUUUUAAAUUCUAAAUUUUAAAAUUAAAAUUUAAAAUUUGAUAUUUUAAAUUUUAAAAUUUAAAAUUUGAUAUUUGAUAUUUUUCAAAUUUAAAUUUGAUCUUAAAAUUAAUGUUUGGAAUUUAAAAUUUAAAAUUUUGAAUUUAAAAUAUGAGAUUUUAAAUUUUAAAAUUUUAAUUUCAAAUUUUGAAAUUUAAAAGUUAAAAUUUAAAUUUAAAAAUAUAAAUUUAAAAUUUAAAAAUUCAAAUUCAAAUAUAAUGUGAGGGAUAAUAUUAUUAUUUUUUAUUUAUUGCUCCCCACUAUUUUUCUUAUUCUAUUUUAUCUAUUCAAACGCUAGUUUUCGUAUUUUCGGGAAUAACAUAAUUUUCAUCGAAACGCAAAAUUUAUCUAGUUCUUACUUAUACCUAAACUUAUACCUAUCCCUGAAAUAAGCAGCUCUUGCUUAUACCUGAACCAAACUAUACCUUGACAACUACACAUAAAUUUUGUCUAAAUUUACUCUAUUCUAUUAUUGUUGUUAGACUUUUGCCAAUUUGGACAGAGUUUUAACUUAUCUACUACUGUAAUUUUGGUAUACUAUCCGGUUCAUUUAGUUUUCUAGAAAUAAAUUUAACUGAAAAUAUGAAACAACUAGAUUUCGAAUAUGAUAUGUUAACGUAGGCCUAAGCCGCGUUAGAGGAAAAAAACACAAGAACGGAAAGAGAAAUAUACAUAAUAUAAUUUUCGACAAAAUGAGAAUAUUAUUCUAAAAGGCUAAUUACAUUAACAGAACGACACGUAUAUAUAGCCGCUGUACCUAUAAAUAAAGAUAAUAAAUUGUAAUAUAUCUUUAAAUCUAAACUUAUAGUAUUCCUGGUGUUCAGCUUUUGAGGCUUGUCGACACGUCGUGAGGGUGUCGGGACAAGUCCGAGUCUUGUUAGCGCGAAAUAGAUGCAAAACGGACUCAGCAGGGACGCGAGAGCAGGAGUUAGCAGUGGAAUCUGCGAAAUUGCAGAUUUUCUGCUUGUUGUACCGGUACAACAUCAGGGUUGUACCGGUACACUUUCUGUACCGGUGCAGCAUCGGAGGUGUACUGGUACACUUCGCCCGAUUGGCGAGCAACUACUCUCGGGUUGCCAUCUGUACCGGUACAGGUGCCCGUGUACUGAUACACGGGGUUAGGUGAGGGGCAGAUUUGUCUUUUCUUGCCUCGUACGUAUCACCAUCCCUCCCCUUUGCUUUAUGUACGUGUUGGGAAGCUGAGGAGGACUUCUUGCAUGCUUCUUCUCCUCUUUCUCUCUCUAGACCCAGUCGUGAGCAAGGAGGAGCUUGGGUGGAGUUGGUUCGUCGUCGACAUCGCGCUGCGGUGCCGUUCGAGCGGAUAUUCGUCGUCGCGGUGCUACGAGGAGGCCGGACGAGCAUGGAUUUUCGCCGUUCUCGACGUCGCGCCAGUGCUAGAGUCGCUGUCGAGGUGGGUAUCUAACAUUCCUCCAUUUAUGGCCUGACCUCUCUACUUCGAGCUCGCGUGCUGAUUUUUUUACUGAAUUCCAGCGUCGACCGUCGGCGUUUCGGCUCGUACGCGACGUAGGAGUGUCGGAUUGCGACGAAACUUGAUUCGUUGGAUUCAGGAUUUCGAGAGGAAUCCACGAAGCCCAAGAUUCUGAAUUUGGUGAAGGUUAGCUUAAUCGAACUCCUAUUUUACUCUACUGCUGUUGUAUUUGGACAGAAUUGACGGAUUUCGAUGUAUAGAGCUUCGAGAUAGCUCGAUUUCUGGACUUGGAGGAUUUCAGUUGAUCCAGCAGGGAUUAUUAUUGGUUCGAGACUCCCUUCGCUGACAGGAGUUAGCAUUUGAGGUGGGUUUUCAUCGAGUUUACUCCUAAGUAGAGAUUAGUAAACAUGUAUAGUUUUCGAUUAUUUAUACUUUGUAGUAGCUUAAAUUCAUUGAGUAGCAUAUUGGCUGAAGUCUGAAUUUGAAGUAUGUUUCUGAAUCUAGUUAAACUAUACAUGUUGGACUUGAAAAUUGAAUUAGGAGAAAACCGGUGAUUUGGACCUGUCACCUGUUUACACUACCUGAUUUAGCUCUAGGAGCCGUUAUAAAUUUGUAUCAUCGCAGUAUUGGUGUGAUGGAUACCCCAGGUAGUUUAGGGUUCGGUUACGCUCGCGCUGGGAUGCCGAGUGUAUUUUUUACAGUAGUGUUCAGACUGUUCCGAACUGUUGGAGGCCGUCGGGGUUGACGGUGGACCCUAUCACCGUUUUGGCGUCAGAUUGUGCUGAGGGCACAUGACCUGUUUGUUGUUAGACCAGUUGGACCCUGUUACUUGACUUUGGCUUGUGAGAGCCUGAUUGAGCUCGACAGAGAUACGCUGCAUACUCGAUUGGAUAGCUCUCACGAGUGCCAUUCCGGAGACGGACGCUGUGCUUUCGCGUUAGUGUCGUUCAUGCCGAUUGGACUUGCUCUCCAUAGACUGGUUAGUGUGGAGGUAGCUGGAUAGUCCCAACUGGGCGAACGGGUGUAUUCACAGUCCCUGGGACGGGUAUGUUUACAGUCCCUAAAGAGAUUGGGUCGGGAUUGACAUCACUACAGUUAGUUAGAGUAGAGCAUGAUAGUGUAAUAACUUGUAACUAUAGAUUUUAUUUCAGCAUUUAAUACUAUCUUUGCUCUCUUCUGUAGACUUAGUGGGUGGACCGAUGAUGUUGAGGGCGGCACCCACUGAGUACUACUUGUUUUUACAGUAGUUCUCACGCUCUGUUGUUACCCCGUUUUUGUAGAGCCAUCGUCUUCGGCUGCUGUUGUUCCUGAUCAGGAUCGAGGCAAGGGCGUCGCGAGUUAGAGCCCUACCAGACGAGCCGAGCUAGAGGUGUCCCUACAGUAGGUAGUUGUUUCUGGUUGGAGUUCAUGUACAUACAGACGUUUAACUCGCCAGUGCGAGUAGUUUUGUACCUUGGUUUUGAUGUAUGUAUAUGGAACUCAGUUUGUUUUAGUUACUGGUUCUUCUGGCAUCUCUAUACUACUGUUUGUAGUAUUGUAUAUUUUACAGGUACAGCUAUCGCUUCGUACACAGGAAAAAUUUCUUUGUAUACGGUGGAUUUGUCGACGUGCCCGGGAAACGUGUAAUUCGGGGCGUGACAAAACUAAUUAGAAAUAACUAAAUAAUCGAACUCAAAACAGAAAAAAAAAAUAAUACUUUUCGAAAAUAACAUGUAAAUACAAAAACGAAAGCAUAAACAAUUGAAUUUGGACCCCAAACUCAGCUUGUACAGAUUUACCGUAUGAUGCAUAGAGCUCGAAAAUUAUUUUCCGAAUUAGAGGUUGUACGGUGAAAACGGAUACUCGCGCGAAAAACUAUGACCGUUUAAAAAUUUUUUGCGAAAAUUAUAAAAAUUAUCGAAUUCAACGAGAUUUUCAGCCCAGCUUAGUUGCAUCAUACUUUGUCAAAAACCAUCAAGCUAAAAUGACAACAUCCUAUUUUAAAGAAUAUCUAUCAUCAAACUAGUGAUCGGGGACUAAGGAUAAUAAUCGAAUAAUAAUAAUAAUAAUAAUCAACCUAUCCAUAGUAAUAUACUAUUUGACAAUACCAUCACAUCAACAACAUGGACCUCAUGAAGCCACUUAAGGCAUUAAGUUCUUAACCAAUAAAAUCUUGACACCAUGGCAUCAACAAAAUGGGCUCUCAUGAAGCCACGUGAGGCAUUAAGUUCUUAACCAACAAAAUCUUAACACACAUCUUUCGAAAAAUUUGGGCACACCUAUUUCACCGUAAAUCGAUUUUAAAAUAUGCAUCAUAGAUAAAAGCUCAGUCGUAUAAUAAAUUAUUUAAAUCUUUUAUAUUAUAUUAUAUUAUAUUAUAUUAUACGGAAUUAAUCAUCAAAUACUUUAUCUAUUUUAUAAUAUUCUAUAUAGUGUAUAAAAUAUUAGUACGCACCGGGUGCACGCAAAUAUGUCUCCUCUCAUCACCAAAACAAACUCUCCUCGAGCCACAUUAGCCAUUAAUUUCUUAACCAAUAGGAAAUUGUCGUAUCUAGAAAAUUUUGGAUGUGCCCGUUUCAAUGUAAAUCGACUCUAAAAUAUGAAUAAGAUAAAAUUGCAGUCGUAUAAUAAAUUAUUUAAAUAUUUUAUAUUAUAUCAUAUUUUAUUUGAUCGUAUUAAUUAUUAAAUACUAUAUCAAUCAUAUAGUAUGUUAUGUUCAUGGGUAUAUAAAAUACUAGUACGCAUUAGAUGCAAGCAAAUAUUUCUCCUCUCAUUUGGAAGUGACAAAGCCCAUUUAUUAUGUAUUAAUUCACUAACUAAUGGGGGACUAUCACAUGCUUGCCUUAUUGUGAUAGGGUGGUUUUACUACUUUAUCACUUAGGGUUCGUUAAGACCUUAUCGGCUUUUAUUAUACUAAACUGGCUCUAUUUUAUAUGACCGUUUUUUAGUAAGGCAAACCGUCUUAUUUGGGGCUUGGUUUGUCCCGUUCUNUUUUAUUAUAUUAUAUUUUAUUAUAUUAUAUUUUAUUUUAUAGUAUUAGUUAUCAAAUGUUCCAUCAACCAUAUAAUAUUCUGUAUAAUAUAUAAAAAAUUAGUACGCACUAAGUAUAAGCAAAUAUUUAUGCCACAAUAGUGUCUGGCCUUCAUCACCCUGAGUGGUUACUGCUGCUUCACCUUUAACUGUACUUCACUCAUCAAAAUUACCAACUCCAAUCCUAAUGAACUCAUUCCUCCGGAAUGCAAUGAACAACAUUGCUUACUUAGGAUCAGCUUGCGAUUUUCUCCUUUCUUUUGGAAGUGACAAAACUGUACCAAUUAAGUCAUUAACUAAUGAAAAAUUACCAUAAAUUUACUAAAAAUUUUGAAUGUACCGAUUGCACCAUUGCACCGUAAAUCUACUCUAAAAUAUAUAUCAAAAAUAAAAUUUUGAUGGCAUAAUAAAUUAUUCAAAUAUUUUUAUUAUAUCAUAUCUUAUUAUACAAAAUUAAUCACCAAAUGCUCAAUCUCUACAUAUUUAACCAUUUAAUAAUAUUUUACAAUAGCUAACUCUUUGUGGUAGGUCUUUUCUUUUUUAUAACUAUUUGAAUAAACAGAACAAAAUAAAUAAAUAGUAUUUCAAAUUAAAUAACUAUCCGCAGUAUCACGCAGGUCACUUAACUAGUAGUAUAUAAUGAAUCGCCAGUGACGUUGGCGACGUGGCAGAGAAUGGACCCGAUAUAUUUUUUUUUUUUCUUCACCAAUUUAGACAAGAAAGAUUGAGCUUUUUUUAAAAUUCAGUCUAAUUCUUCUCUCUCAUUACAAAAAUAUAUAAUCUUUUACUUGUAAAUUUUAAAUUAUUUAGAUUGUAUAUAUAUUAAAUAUAAAUUUUAAUUUUAUAAUAUUGAUCAUUUAGAUAUAAAUUGUACAAUAAAAAACAAAAAUAAAAUUUGAGUUUAAGUUAAUUAUUUAUUUUAAGAAAUUUAGUUGUGAGAAUUAUAUAAAGUAUACGAAAUAAAUCUGUAAGCUAAACGGCACAUUCAAAUUUUGAAGUCAAAGCAUUAUUAACCGGCUCAAAUCUAACAUAUAGAAUAAUUGGAUAGUAAAAACGAAAUUUUGAAAGGUUUGAUAGAUGAUUCAAAAUGGUUCGUAGUUCAGACAAAUUCUAUAUGAUUUUAUUUUUAUUUUAAUAUCAAACUUUAAUAUCAUAUUUAUAGUCAGAUGAGCAAUAAGUUUCACAUUUAAAAUCUUUUGGAAUGCCCAAAAUAUAAUUGGUCGACUUUUAAUUUUAACAAUUAGGCAUCCUAAAAUUUGUUAGAUAGUUUAACAAAUUCUUUUCUCAAGUGAAAUUACUAAUUAAACAAAAUUGAUCCAUGCUCAACUUUGUCUUCAUUUAGAAUAAUAAUGCGAUCUUCAAAUUAUAAGACCCGUGACACUAUAGUUCUCGAAUUUUUAAGGCAUUACAUUUUCUUACUUAAAGUAUGAGAUACUUCUUAUACUUUUACUGCAGUAACUACUGCUUAUUCUUCAAUUUCUUUUAUUUGUAUUUUUCUUUAUUUUUUGACUUUUUGAUUUUUUUAUUUUUUUAACUAAAAUUUUUUUUUUGUUUCUACAGAAUUAAUCCGCCGCAAUGCGCGGUUGAGAGACAUAUUAUCUCACUGAAGGUGCCGACUCAAAUUUGUGAGCAUGUUUUUGUAGGUAAACAUGCGUGUAGGCACCUCAACAAUACUCUAUUUUGAAACGCAACCCAUGAUUUUUAAAUAAUAUUACUUUGAUUAUUAAUACAUAAUAAAGUUUAAAAUUAUGCGGAUUAAAAACUCGCUAGAGCUGUAUAAUUUGACCNAUAAAAUUACAGUCGUAUAAUAAAUUAUUUAAAUAUUUUAUUAUAUUAUAUUUUAUUAUAUUAUAUUUUAUUUUAUUGUAUUAGUUAUCAAAUGUCCCAUCAACCAUAUAAUAUUCUGUAUAAUAUAUAAAAAAUUUGUACGCACUAAGUAUAAGCAAAUAUUUAUGCCACAAUAGUGUCUGGCCUUCAUCACCCUGAGUGGUUACUGCUGCUUCACCUUUAACUGUACUUCACUCAUCAAAAUUACCAACUCCAAUCCUAAUGAAGUCAUUCCUGCGGAAGCCAAUGAACAACAACGAUUACUUAGGAUCAGCUUGCGAUUUUCUCCUUUCUUUUGGAAGUGACAAAACUGUACCAAUUAAGUCAUUAACUAAUGAAAAAUUACCAUAAAUUUACUAAAAAUUUUGAAUGUACCGAUUGCACCAUUGCACCGUAAAUCUACUCUAAAAUAUAUAUCAAAAAUAAAAUUUUGAUGGCAUAAUAAAUUAUUCAAAUAUUUUUAUUAUAUCAUAUCUUAUUAUACAAAAUUAAUCACCAAAUGCUCAAUCUCUACAUAUUUAACCAUUUAAUAAUAUUUUACAAUAGCUAACUCUUUGUGGUAGGUCUUUUCUUUUUUAUAACUAUUUGAAUAAACAGAACAAAAUAAAUAAAUAGUAUUUCAAAUUAAAUAACUAUCCGCAGUAUCACGCAGGUCACUUAACUAGUAGUAUAUAAUGAAUCGCCAGUGACGUUGGCGACGUGGCAGAGAAGGGACCCGAUAUAUAUAUUUUUUUUCUUCACCAAUUUAGACAAGAAAGAUUGAGCUUUUUUUAAAAUUCAGUCUAAUUCUUCUCUCUCAUUACAAAAAUAUAUAAUCUUUUACUUGUAAAUUUUAAAUUAUUUAGAUUGUAUAUAUAUUAAAUAUAAAUUUUAAUUUUAUAAUAUUGAUCAUUUAGAUAUAAAUUGUACAAUAAAAAACAAAAAAUAAAAUUUGAGUUUAAGUUAAUUAUUUAUUUUUAAAAAUUUAAUUCCGAGAAUUAUAUGAAGUAUAUAAAAUAAAUCUGUAAGCUAAACGACACAUUCAAAUUUUAAAGUCAAAUAUUAUUGNUAUUUAAUAUGAAUAUUGUUUUCAUUUACAACUCUUAAUUUUAUAGUAUACGGAGUAUCAAGUUCAGUUUUUAAUGCUGAUUAUUUUUAAUCCUCUAAUUUGGUAUAAUUCAUAGAGUAUGAAAUUCAUUCUUUUACAUUACGGAAUUUUUAAGCUCUUGAUAUCACAGUGCCCAGAAUAUUAAACUUCUAGCGUAAUAAUAAAAUUUACUUCUGUUUCAACUCGUACUUAGUUAAAACAAAUUAAUCAUUAAAGUGAACUCUUUUCUUAAACAAUUUGAUAGAUUGUUUAAAAUCCUACGGAUUAACAAUUUUAAUUUUCAGCUGGUUAAUAUAAAACCUGUAAGGUUUUCUAAAAUUUACACUUUGAAUAACGAGUAGUCUGAUAUUUAUACUUAUAUUUUUUGAUCUUUUUUGUAAGAAAAAAUAUUUAUUUUUUUAUUCUCUUUAUAUUUUUAUUCUUAUACUUUUACUGCAGUAACUACUGCUUAUUCUUCAAUUUCUUUUAUUUGUAUUUUUCUUUAUUUUUUGACUUUUUGAUUUUUUUAUUUUUUUAACUAAAAUUUUUUUUUUGUUUCUACAUAAUUAAUCCGCCGCAAUGCGCGGUUGAGAGACAUAUUAUCUCACUGAAGGUGCCGACUCAAAUUUGUGAGCAUGUUUUUGUAGGUAAACAUGCGUGUAGGCACCUCAACAAUACUGUAUUUUGAAACGCAACCCAUGAUUUUUAAAUAAUAUUACUUUGAUUAUUAAUACAUAAUAAAGUUUAAAAUUAUGCGGAUUAAAAACUCGCUAGAGCUGUAUAAUUUGACCAAAUAACUUAAUAAUUUAAUAAAAGUUUUCAAUUUAAUCAGCUAAACUAAAUUAAAUCAAACAAAUAAAUAUUGUGAAAGUGUCGAUUUCACGGAGCCAUUGCAAAAUCGCCUAUAGUUUAGGGGGUUUUGAUAUAUUUUCACCCAAAUGAUGAUCACCCCCUAAUCGCGGGACACGUGUGCAUAAUGUCACCAGAAACGAGGCUCGAGGGGAUACGUCACACGCCGUGAGUGCCCCUCCCCGGCGUUCACACAUGCCCUCGGGAUAAAUGCCUGGACCGGAUGUAUCCGAACAGCUCAUGCACCACAUGUAAUCAAUAUUUUAAUAUUAAAAUCUUUUACCUAUAAAAAUAAUGUAUUAUUAGUUGAUUAAUAAGAAAUAAUAUUUCAAUGUCUUUAUUUGAUAAUAUUGUCUUUUUUUUUUUUCGUCUUCUUGAAUAAAGAGUAGAUAGUGUUUAUAAAAGAAUUUAUUUAGCAGCAAAAUUAAAAGGAGAUAUUUAUAUUUUUUUUAGAUUUUAAAGUAUUUUUAAGCAGAUAAUUUUAGCUAAUACAUAUUAGCUAAUAGUAAUAAAAGUUAAAAAAAUUAUUUAUCCACAUAUUCAAUCACAUAGAAUACUUAUUUAUAAAAAUAAAAAAGCAAUAGUACCAACAAUUAAAUUAAUGAUAAUUUCUUGAUAGAAUAAACUUCAAUUUGCUUUUAUAUGGCUUGAUUUUCUUUUUCACUCUACCAUAUAAUUGUUUAAAAAAAUUACAUGAUUUUAUAUUUAUUUCAUCUUCAAUAUCUAUAUUUAAAAAAAUUAAAUAGAAUAGACCAAUAGCAAAGUAAUUUUUUUUAAAAAACUGCAAAAUGAUACAAUAUACCAAAUUUUUUUUAAAUUUUUUAGCCUAUACUUCAACAUCCUAUGAUUUAGGAUAAGUAUUAUUUUACUACUUUAUUUAAUUAUAUUUAAUAAUAGACUUUAUAGUAAAAUAAUAAUAGCAAUAAUAUGAUAGUUAAUAUAACUUAAUAAAUUAGAUUUUUAAUUUUUGAGAUCAUGUAUUGUUAUUAAACUAUUACUAUUAGGUGCACGAGAUGUACGGAUACACUCGGCGCACGCAAAAUUUUCCGUGCCCAUCCUCCCGCACGUGUCCCCGUAGGGAGGUGCUGACUCGGAUGGGGAGUCAUGAACGCGUCAACGGCGGAGAGGCCUCCAUCCGGGGGUGUGCAAAUGAUUGAGAUCGAAUCUCGACCGUCCGUGCGGUAUCUGCGCCCUCCCAAUUCUCCUCCUCCCCCUCUUCCUCCUCCGACCACGGUCGCAUAGAAUACCCCGUGCGGAGAUCCCGAUUCUCCCUUUUUAAAGCCCUUUUUCCCCUCUCCUCUCUCCUCUCUCCGAGCUCUUCUUCUUCCUCUUCCUCCUCCUCCUCCUCCUCUCUCCGAUUUCGCGAGCUCGAUCGAGGAGUUGGGGAGAAGUAAGAGAGAGAGAGAGAGAGAGAGAGAGGGAGCUGUGAUCUCGUUGUAUUGGGUAAGCUUCUGCUGCUGCUGCUGCUGCUUCUUCUUUCUUUUUCUUCUUCGUUUGCUUUGUAUCGUGCUGUGAUCGGGUGAGUUGAUCUCUCUCUGUGGCUGUGGGAGAGUUCUCUCCAGCUUUGACUUGUUGUGGGGAUUGAAAAGUUGGUGUUUCGGGGGGGUUUGGGUUGUGGGGUUUUGCUUCUCUGAUGAGUUCUAACGUGUUUGCCAUUAGAAUUUUGGUUGUAGGGCUCCUCCUCUCGCCGAUUUGCGAGCUCGGUCGAGGUGGAAGAGAGAGCUAUACAGGAGCCAUAGAGAGAGAGGGAGAGAGGGAGCUGUGAUCUCGUUGUGUUGGGUAAGCUUCUUCUUACUGUGAUCUGUGAAUUGAUCUCUUUUUGUGGCUUUGGGAGAGCUCUUUCUCCCUCUCUUUUUCUUUGACUUGUUCUGGGUAUAUAAAAAAGCUGGUUUUUUUCCUUUUUUGGGGGUUUUGGGUUUUGGGAUUUUGCUUCUCUGAGGAGUUCUAAUACUUUUCCAUUAGAAUUUUGGGUGUGGAGCUCCUCCUCCUCUCUCCAAUUUCCGAGCUCGAUAGGCGAAUUGGGGUGAAGUAGCGCGAUAGAGAUGUGGGAGUUGAGCUAUAGAGGAGCCAUAGAGAGAGAGAGAGAGAGAGAGAGAGAGAGAGAGGAAGCUGUGAUCUCGUUUUAGUGGGUACGCUGCUGCUUCUUCCUCUUCUUCUUCGUUUACUUCAUAUCUUUGUGUGAUCGGUGAAUUGAUCUCUCUCUGUGGCUAUGGGAGAUCUCUCUCUCUCUCUCUCUCUCUCUCUCUCUCUCUCUGAUUUGAUGUUGGUUUUUUUUUGGUGUUUUAGGGUUGGGGUUUUGCUUCUCUGAUGAGUUCUAACAUGUUUUCCAUGAGAAUUUUGGUUGUGGGGCUUCCAUUUUUGGGUGAUUAUAAUCGCCUUUUUAUUGGGAUCUCUUAGUUUUGGGAUUUGCUAUUGGUAUCGAUUCAAAUUUUUUAUUUUUCCUGUUGGUUUUAUGUUUCUAAUUUGUGGAAAGAAGGGUUUUUUUUUUAUGGAUUGCUAUACACUUUCUGCAGGUUGGUUUCUACUUUAAUUAGAAAAUAGAGUUUUGGGAGUUGAUUUUCUUCAUUUUGUGUGGUGGAUUUUGCACUUCUUCUUUUGGGGGUUUUGGGUUUUGAAUUUUGGAUUUCCUUCCCUGAUGAGUUCAAAUAGGGUUCCCUCAGAAUCGUGGUGGUGAUAAUUUCGUUCCUGCGUAGUUAUGAUCGACUUAUUAUUACUUAAUUAAUUAGGAUCUCUAAUUAAAUUUCCGUUUUCUCUUCAGGUAUCAUAUAAAUUUUGGAUUUUUUCGGACAAUUUUAUUUGUUUUUUACAAGAAAAUAAGCGUAAUUUGUAGAAAGAUGGGUUUUUUAUGGAUUGCCAACUUAGAAAUUCCUCGGAUUUGUUUUGGGGUAUUUGUUCAGUUCUUUAUUUUUUUUUAUUUUUUAUUUUUUGGGCUCCCUCUUCUUGUUUGAUCUCGCAGCUGUUGAGUUUACAUAAAUUUUAGGGCUUUUUUCCUGUUAUCAGCUAUAUAAUAAUAUAUUAGGGGUUCUUGGAUUCCUCCUGCUUCUUCUUAGAUCUUUUCCUGUUCUUUUAGUUGUUUGUAAUUGUGACAGGUAAUUCGAAUUCAUUUUUUUUACAGUUUAGCUGUUAUAUUGUAGAUUUCGUAAUUUCGCUAUGUUGCUAAUUUAGUUUCUGGAACUCUGAUUAGGUGUGAUCGAAAGCAAUAGUUAGUUACAAAACCCUGCUAAUCGAUUGAAAGCUCUUCCUUUAUUAAACUGUACAUCAUCAGUGUUUUAGUAUCUUACUGUUGUUUGGGUUUUCCUGAUUCUGUACCUGCUAUUUUUGCUUAGAGAACAGUCCUAGGCAUUUGAGUAAGGAAUUCGUAUUGUCCUGGAAUCACACAAGAUGCUAAACGUCGUGUUUCCUUUUCUCUUUUAACAUAUAAUUUAUAGUGGUAUACAAUUAAAAGGCCAUAAGAAUAAUAGCAAACUCUGAGGACAGUGCACUUGUUCGAUGUUAAGCGUAAUUUUGUUUCUUUUCAAAUUUCAAUGCGUAACCUUCUUGUUUGGUGCAUCAAUGAUGCAAUUUGUGCUGAGAUGUUUGAAUCUCAAAUUUUAAAUAUUGGAAUUUCGAAUUUGAAUUAGUUUGUUAGGAUUAGUUGAGAUUUUUUAUUAGGGAAAGCAUUAGUUUUUGAAGUUUUGAAUUUUAAAACUAGGUUGUUUCUCUCUCGCUCUCUCUACCGAGGCCAAAUUCUCUCUGUUUCCCUUUUUAUUUUUUCUUCUCUUCCUCCCUCUGUGCUUCUCCUUUUACUUUUCUUUCACAGUGCUACAGUAGUACCUGCAUCAAUCAGUUGUGUAUGAACCAGUAAGUGCUUAUACAUGCAUAUUAGUUUUAUUAAGAGUGUGUUGCUAAUCCCGUGGUUACCAUGAUAUAUCAAAACGAGACGCUGAUAAUCAUUCCAUUUCCUUUUUGGGUGAGUGGACUCAUUAUUGGCAACAACAAAGACAUGAAAAUGAUAACAACCACUUGUUGUUUAGUAGGAUACUUCUCAUAACAGUUCAGAACAUCCUCAUAGGUCAUAGUGUGAUGAAGAGAAAGUAUUCUGAUCCAGCGAAACAGCCAUCUGAAAGUUGAAUCUUGAUUUUGUUUGUUAUGCGAGAAAUGAGCAUCAAAAUCUGGGAGUCCUUCAUGCUACAAUCUACUAUUCUGGGCACUCCUAGAUCAUCAAAGUAGUCAACGAUACGUCGUCGAGUAAUUUCUUAGAAGGAACUCUUAGGUUGUCAGUAAAUGUAAACCAUCGCUUGAAUUGCCUGAGUUAGCAAAUAGUUCUAGAAUUAUGUUGAGAAUGUUUGGGAAUUUGUUCUUGCGCUUUAAUGUAACAUUUUAUAUCUGUAGACUACUUUGUUGUACUUUGUAGUAUAGAUGUAGCCUUAUUGUUAAUUCAGAUUUUUGCAAAUUUCUAUUGAAGCUAUAUGAAAAUACAUGUUGUCCAAAUUUGCAGUUGCUGCAUGACAUGCCGCAAGCUCUAUCCAAAUGUCAGCAUUAAAAGUAAAGAAGAAAAUCAGCAAGGUAUAUACAAGAAGAAAAAAAUUGCAUGCAUCGUCCAAGUCAACUAAACCACCUAAAGAUUCGCGGUCUCGAAUCGAAACAUUUCAACGAACUGCAGUGUCGGUCUCGUCUUGUAAAGAAGCAUCUCAAGAUGGUAAGGCCCCAUACGAAUUGGCAUUUUCAAAUGAGUCGAACACUCAGACAGAGAGGGGUGGAAACGAGCCGAGCUCGAGCGAGCUUAUGUCAGCUCAAAUUCGGCUUGAAAUUAAUUUCGAGCCUAAAUCUAGGCUCAAGCUCGGCUUGAAAUUAAUUCGAGCCGAGCUCGAGCGAGCCUAAUUUCGAGUCGAGCCGAGCUCGAGCUCUAAACGAGCCGAUUGAAAUUCUCAACAUUAUAUAAUCAAUAGUUUAAUUUUUGUAGAACAUUAUCUAUAAUUUGAUGCAACAUGUUCAAUAGUUCAAAAUACAAAAUAAUUGUAAGAAAUGUGAGCUAGGGUGACUGUCUGACUGGGUGAGGAUCAGAGAGAGAGAGAGGGAAAAAAAAAUUAGGGAUUUGAAAAUUUGAAUGUUAUCAUGUUUUAGGGUUAUAUGCAACAGUGAAAGUUUGAAAAAAAGAGUGUGUUAUGUAAUUUAGAGUUGGGCUCAAUUGCACGGUUGUACUUGUUGGGUUUAUUUUAUGGGCCAACAAUAAUGACCCAAAUUAAAUUAAAGCCUAUAUAUAAUUAAAAUAUUAUAUAUAUAUAUAUAUAUAUAUAGUGUAGAACUACUAUGCUUUCGAAAAUAUAGAGGAUUUGAUGUUUUUGAAUUUUUGACCCUUUGAUUAAAAAUUAUAUGGUUGGGAUGAUUGCGGUCUCCCCUAGGAUUAAAUAAUACUCUUAGGAUUGAGUAGUCCCUACAAGGUAAUCAUAAUAUUAAUCCAAAAAUAAGAAACGAUUAAAAGGAUUGAUCUAAGAAUCAAAAAAUCGAAAGCACCAGAUCUCUAUACUUUCAAUAGCAUAGUAGCUCUACUAUAUAUAUAUUNUUAAUCAUCACUUAUCUGUCAUUUCUAGGCUGAAUAAUUUGAAGGUUCAAUUGAAAUUCCGAAGACCGAAAAAAAAAAAAAAAAAAAUCAAUUUUGCUGAACACCAACCUGAAAUUAUUGUUUGAAAAUUAAACAAAAAGGCAUCAUUUGAGAUAGAAUUGAGAAGGCUUGGGGCCUUUAUGGCCAAUUGGAGUUCGUAUGCAAGUAUUAUUUGAGUAGAGUUGUUCAAUUAAAAAACGAUGUUGGAAUUAUAUUGGUUUUUGUUGAAAUUGUUAGCCUUGUUAUACAGUUUUUAAGCAGUUUUCUAUCUGAGGCUUUUGCUACAUUACUUUCAACCUUCUUCUUUUUCUUUUUUUUUUUUGGCGAGCAUCGGGCACCUUCUUUGAAGUUCAUAUUAUUGCUCCUUUAUUUUUGUCCUUUUCAUGUUCAUUGUGUGUAUUUCCAAAAGAACCGAAAGAACUUCAUCAGUCAUAGUAUUUUACAAUAAUGUGAAGCUAAUUGAGGGUACUCGGUUUGAUCAUAAUGCUGUUGAGGCCUGCUAUCAGAAAAAAAAAUUUUAGCCUCUAAACUCUUUUAGUUGUGGCUAAAGCUGUAGGCUUCAACAAAUUUUGUUGGAUUGAAUUCUAAGCUAAACCUAUGUAUCCUUCUUACUGCAGCUUAUGCCACUACUGAACUAACUGGACAGAACAUUGGGAUUACAGAGACCAGCGAGUUCCAAGAUGCAUGUAAUGCAGCAUCCGCUAAUUUACUGAUGGCGACACAGUCAUCAAUCGAUGUUAUAUGCACAGAAACCAUGGUACGCAUUUGCACUUACUUCCUUAUUAGUUUUUACUCCAGCAUCAUGUGCUAUGCUCUAUCUUCUGCUCUUCUCUGAGUUCACUUUGUCCUUGUUCUCUAAGGAGUGAAGAUCCUAGCAACUAAAGUGAAUUAAUUGCGUGCAUGCAUCUUAAAUGGAUGCUUGUAUGAGUGUAUGCACAUGUAUAUAUAUGUCUAUGUAUGAAUUUUUCUAGUUUUUGAAGCACUGAUAGCAAAUUAUUAGAAUUAUGGUAACACAAUAUUGAAAAGCAACCUGGAGACUGCAAUGCUGUAAAUAAAUGUUUAACGAACUUACCAGGUAAUUGGCCACUGCCGCCACGUUAAUUGCCUUUUUGCUGUCCAUUGUUGUGCUUAGGCUUUGUUUACUGGCAUAGCCCAUUUUCUGCGAGAGUUAAUAUUUGCUUUUGAUCUCUCCAAGUUAUGGAAAAAAAAAUUAUUUCAACUUUUGAUUGUUAAUAUUGUUGUAACUAAUUGUAGGGUCCAACCUCUGCGACAUGCUCAGCCAAUCUUGAAACAAUCUUCUCUCCCAAUUACGAGCACAUUGAUUCUCAUUUAAGAGCAAUCUAUGACAUUAAUGAAGGUAUGCUGGGUAUCUUAUCAUUUUCUUUUUCUCUCUCCACUGUAAUAUCAUGCAAAAUAUGCUGUUCUCUCUCUCUCUCUCUCUCUCUCUCUCUCUCUCUCUCUGUUUUUGGUGAAUUUUUGGUCUCCUGUUUCAUAUACACUACAGAGCUUUGAAGUUUUAGGAACUAUUUAUUCAUAACGCCUAGAAGAAAGGUAGUAAUACCUUUUCGAUAGCUAGAUGAUCUUUUGACUACAGCGUGACCAAACCCCUUAAUUUGUCAGAAAAUGUAAUCUACACCUUAAUGUGAAGAGACCAAUCUCUUUAGGGAUAUGCCCAUCACCUUGAAGCCUCGUUGAAGCAUACAUCGUGAUUUGUAGUUUCAAUCAAAAUUCUUAAACUGAAACCAAAAUAUUUCGGUUUCCAUGAGUGCUGAUUCGGAAGUAUAGUUUGUAACUGAACUAUCAGAGUUUCGGCUCCAAAACCCGUCUAAAUAGCCUUUAGGGUGACCCACAUUGACUGUGAUGAAAUUAUAAAGGCAAACACAAUUCAUAAAUGGACCCGAGUCUGGAACAUCACUUAAGCCUAUAAAAAUAUUGCAAGACUAAGAGUUACUAUAAUUGCCAUAUUUUGUUUUCCCGUAUCUUUAUUUCGUUCUUUUGAACAAUUUAAUUUCUGUUGACAGAUUAUAUGGAAGUUCUCUUUUCUCUUGCUUAUGUUUCAUACAAGUUCGUUUUCCGCCUUUCCAGUUAGUUCAGGUAGUCGGUGUAUUUUUACAGCUUACCUGUAGGAGCAUCUGUUUAGAUUGCGUAAAUCCUGUUUCUUAAGAAACUAUUAGUUACAUUACUAUUUUGACAAGCAUUUUUAACUUGGAAUUUUAUAAUUUCGUGUAGCUACUUUCUCAAUUAGUAAAUGAAGUUUUUGGAAACUCUUAUUUUGCAGUUAGAUACGAGAAACCCGAUUUGCCCCAUCUGAUUGCUGAAGACAGCGAUGAAGGGAGUUGUGCUACCGGUGAUUAUCAGAGUUGCAGUUUUUCAAAUUUCUACAUUCCCGAGGACACUAGUUCAUUAUCCUUUGAUAGCUUGAUGGGUUUCACAAAUAGAAUCGAUACUGCUGAUAAUGAACAUACAGAUUCAGACAUGGUGAUUGAUAUGGCAGAGAGAUAUGUAAUACUCCCUUUCCUCGAGAAAACAGUGGAAACCAAUAACAUUGAUGAUGAAGUUUCUGAUGAUACAUGCUUGUAUCUUGCAAUUCAUCAAGUGAAACCGAAUGAUGAAGAAACUCAGCGAAAUUGCGGAUCUGGUGAUUGGGAGGGAAAUGAAUCCUAUAAUCAGCAUGUAUAUAUGGGAGAUUUACCGGCAUUGCCUGGGGUAAAUUCGACCUCUUGUCCUACUUGCUUGCCAAAAUCACAAGAAAGAAAGAAGCACAUCACCCUUGUACUUGAUUUGGACGGUAAGCUGAUGUCGAUAUCUCUACUUUUCAGAGGGGAAAUUGGUGCAUUUUUUUGGUUAAUUAUAGAGUUUGAAGUUCGACUGCGAACUUAGUAAGCCCUCAGUGUUAAUCUUAACCGCUUAAUACCUAAAGUUUGUCCUGGAUAACAGUCAAGUUCUUUUGUUAGUCUAUGACCCACGACAGAGUCAUAGUUAGGUUUCGUUGGCGUGGCAGCUUUUUGAGGUUGUCCUCCUGCCAAGUGACUAUGUUCUGUCAGCAUCUUUAGACGUUAGACUAUCAAAAAGACUUAAUUGUCAGAAUAAACUACCAGGAUUAUUAUAAUUGAAACAGUCAGAAUGUAAUUGAAACUGGGAAGUAAAGCUUCAGGCCCAAGUCUGUAAUUAAUCGUUAUCUUGUUUAGUGAAAUCUACUCAUUCUGGUUAGCAGCUCAUCUGAGAGGUUCGGUUUGGUUUGGUUUUGUUUUGUUUUGUUUUUUUUUCCUAGUAUUGAACUUUCUUAAAAUCUCUGCUUUUAUUUAUCACCUUUUCAAAUUGGUGUAGAAACCCUAGUGCAUUCUACGCUGGAGCACUGCGAUGAUGCCGACUUCACCUUUCCGGUUUUCUUUGACAUGAAGGAGCACACCGUGUACGUAAAACAGAGGCCGUACUUGAAAGUAUUCCUUGAAAGGGUCGCCGAGAUGUUUGAAAUUGUCGUUUUCACCGCAAGUCAAAGCAUUUAUGCGGAAAAGCUACUUGAUAUACUGGACCCGGAGAGGAAACUAAUUUCUCAGCGUAUUUACCGCGAAUCGUGCAUAUUCUCCGAUGGUAGCUACACCAAGGACCUGACGAUUCUAGGAGUCGAGCUGGCAAAAGUCGCCAUUAUUGACAAUUCUCCACAGGUAAAUAUCCCUUUUCUAUGCUCUUCUUUUCGUAUGAAUUACUACUAUCACAAAGUUUAUCAGGAUGUUUAAAAUCAUUGUGAGCUGUGACAAGUUCACAGUUAUUGACAAUAUUGGUAAUUCUUUCUUAUGACUCUCCUUUUUCCGCAUGAUCUCAGGUUUUUCGACUUCAGGUGAAUAACGGGAUACCCAUAAAGAGUUGGUUCGAUGACCGAACCGACCAUGCGUUACUUCAAUUACUUCCCUUCCUCGAGACCCUUGUUGACGCAGAGGAUGUUCGACCCAUCAUUGCUGAGAAAUUCGGGAAUAAAGAGUAAAACGCAGCUUGUUUCCACAGCUAUUAGAUUAGAUUAUUGACCCAUUUUACAAUGUUGUCAUUAGAUAAUCCUUUUCAUUGGAAUCAAACUAUGUAUAAAAUUUAGUCUUUUAGUUUGUGAUUCAAUAUAUAUGGCGAGUUAGCUAUGAUAUAAUUGCGGAAUUUGUUGCUAAAAGCUAACUGCCAUGAGUUGUAUAUUCCCCUGCCUCUUCUUCUGCUAUAAACAGUUGUGUGUGUAUAAAAACUACAUUGUCGAAAUAAAAUGGUGUGUAUCGGUUUUCCUCAUUAAUAGCAUAUAUUUGGUAAAUUUGGGUUGGUUUUUAUCGCAUUUCCAUUAAUUCUCCAUUAAUUCGCAUUAGAUUAUAAGCUUUUAUGCUUUAUAUUUGAUUAUUUUUUAUUUGAGGAUUCUGAAUAUUACAUUUUCACUUGUAAAUUGUAAAUUUAUUACACGACGGUGGGAGCAUUUGCUAUUCAAGAUUUGGAAUGGCUUACAUUGACAGGAAAUUUUGUGGCCUUUCUUGCAUAUCUGAUUCUGAUUCUCAGUUUUGACAAGUUUAAAUCUUUGUUCUCUCAUCUCUUAUUGUCUCUUACAGAUGGUAAGUAUGCCAUGUUUAGAUACCACUUCUUUUAUACUGCCUUUUAGAUUUUGUCUCACUCGGUGAGAUAUUUUCUACUACCGGAGAGUGGCCUUUCUAAAGCCAUUUUUGUCACAUUUUCUAUGCUGAAUCUUUUCACUAAUUCGUAAAACCACUAAAUGUGAAUUGUUCAAGAUAAACUCGAAAUAAAGUUCAACAUCCACAGGAGCUUAGCAGAGAAGCUUACUUGACAGUCGUUCUCGAAAAUAUUUAACAAAUCUGACUUUGAUGGUGAAUGAUGGAUGAUUGAUAUGACCGGCAUCGACCCUGCUUUCGCAGUUGCUUCCCUCUGUGACAGGUGUAAUGAUUUUUUACGAUCCAUCUGAGGGUUAGUCAUUGGGGAUCUACACACAGUUUCUUAUAUGGAAACACCUGAGAAGCAUAAAAAGGCUGUUAAAAGAUAAGCAAAUGUCAUGUUGCCAGCACUUUGUAGUGCAGCAGUAAGAGGAAAGCAUGGUCAUCAGUCUGAUCUAAAUAAUGCAGACAUCCCAAAAAACUGGAGAAAUUGAGACAAAGGACUAAGAAGAAAGCAUAAUAGCUACCAAAUUAUCAAGAUAUCAAACAAUAUGUAUUUCCGCGCUCUUUGCUGUGUAGCGUAGUAGUAUCCGAUAUUUUUGUCAUACAUUGGAAUUUGGAAGUGUUCCAUAGUAAGAAAAGGGUAAUAAGAGAGAAAAUGUUCACAAUAGAAUAGGAAUCGCGAAAGCAGCAUUCGAAAUCGAGAGAGAAAAGUAUAUAAAUAAGCAAAAAGGGUCGAUUACUGCUACGUCCUUACGAAACCAAGAAAGUUAAACAAUCUCCAGGAAGCAGAGUAACACAUUGCAUGAUCUUCCCCGUCACAAGAGAAAAUAGCAGCUUUUUCUGCUUAUAGAAAGUGACUUAACAUGUCCAGAAGAUAUUCGACAGUGGUAUAUUCAAUAGUACCAAAAGUGUGAUCAAUUAAGAAACAUAAAGUACAAUAAACUAGAGUUUGAUACAAUUCUUGGCGACUACCACAAUAAAAACAGCUAAUAAAUGCCCUCUUUAAACAUCAAAUUUUGGCAAGAAAGAAUAUCGAAUCUGAACAUAAUGAUAAAUAAUAAACAGCUCCAAAAGAAAGUUAUUAACAUCAUCUAAUAAAAUCAUUGCAUUAGCAGAAACUUUUCAAUAUUUACUUGGUUAUCUUUCAUGUACCAAGUCUGAUUGCAUAUCUAAGAAAUUUGCAUGUGGAAAUGGUUUUUUUGGCUAAAAACUGAAAUGUUUGAUCAAAAAAUGAGGACAUUUAUUAUUCGCUACAACUAACUGCGUUAGGCAAUUCAAAGAACCUUGAAGUAUACCAAAACAGUCAUAACACUAUCAAGUGUGAAUAUGCAAGCAAGAGUAAUUCGAUAGUUUUGUGCGGUUCUGAACAUUUUCACCGGCGGCUCCUUUUAAAGCACGAAUGAUUGGUACGUUGUAUGAGUCUAAACUAUGCCACAACGGACCGCAAUGAAUCAUUCAUAGAAGCAGUAUCGGGCAAGUUUGGGGUCUGUUCGGCCGGUUGGAAUUUUUGCCGAACUGCUGUUUGUGUUAGACCUCUUCAAGAAUCUCUAAGCUUUACGGUAAUGCUAGAAAGAAGCAUCACUUUUGGAGCCUAGAGGCCUGUUUCAGCUUCCAACGUGAGCGAGAAACUUUCGAAACUUGCGGCGCCACACAGUUGGCUCUUACCUCUCGAAUCGAGACGCUGUUCAGGCAAAAUAAGUAUUCAGAUCCUUGAGUUGCUUCCAAUGAUUGAUACACUAGAAGAAUAAAAAUGCAUCUAUAGAAGAAAAUCUGAAUUUCGAAAUUAUAAUCGCAAUCAAAAUUAGACUUAUGUUUCUAAAGGCUUUGAAUGAUGAUAACUGCGUGAAACUAUAGAUGCAUUCCAGCAUCGAAAACAAAAAAUUUACAAAAGAAACAAAGAGGAAAGGAAACCUAAGACAAUGCUGUCACCCAAAUCGUGAGAAAACGGUGAAUAUUGGAAGCAACAUAUUUUAAAACGGAGGAAAAGCAUACAUCGACAAAGAGAAUUUAAGGAAGUUCUUCGAUUUCACUAUUUCUACCAAAUAAGUUAAAUAAGAAAGUAGUAAUAAUGAUCCUAUGCAGAAAUUAUUUGUCUCUCUCUUUGUCAACAGGACAGAUGAUGCAAGAACUUCAUUGGUUACAAGAAAAAUUUUAAAAAAAAAACAAUCAACUACAAAAAUAAAUGGGCGAUUACGUGCAACCUGUUAAUAGUUUAUUUUUGGUUUGGAAAGCUCAUGGCUCCAACUAAUGGCACAAGUUUACAACUAUACAUACACACAAGAGUGAAAAAGAUACAUAUCUGAGCCUUGACAAGAAGAAAACCCAGGUACUGCUUCUUUUUCUGAAAGAUACUAUGCACGACACAUAAUUAACCUUAUUCCCUUCAUCACUUAAUAAACAUUAUGCAAUUUGUGGAAGAAAGUAAAGAUACCUAGCCUUAAUGAGAAGGAAUUCGCAAGCUAGUGUAUUUUCAGAAACACACUAUAGUACUCUCCAUUGCCCAAUUCAUGCUUUCAGAAAGAUAUUGUAAUUGUAAUUAGCUCUUCGAAACUUAGGAGGGGUAAUGCGGCACCCCCCAACCCCCUCUUUGCAGGGGUCAAUAAGAUCCCCUCAAUAUAUCAUCCUUUUCCUUGUUGUUGUUGUUGUUGUUGUUGUUGUUGUUGUUGUUGUUAUUCUUCGUGUCACCAUUACUAAACAAUCCCUUCUCCAUCACCCAAUCCUCGAUCAUGGCCUGCGCAGCGGCACCCUGAUCGGCCGGGACUAGAUGCCCGGCCCCAGAAACCACCACAUGGCUCAACGGCCCCCACCGCUGCACGUACCCGAAGAGCUCCCCAUCCACCUCCCACACCUUCCUCUCCGCACCCAAGAAGCUCUCCAACCCUCCCCACUCCAUCUCCCUCACCCACGCCUCCGUCGACACCACCCCGUCCCUGAGAUCGAACACCCCCUGGUACAGCAAAACCCUGACCUUUGUCAGGAGCUCCUCCACCAUGGAUUUGACGCUCUUCAUCACGUCCUCGUGCAUGGCCUCUGCGACCUCCGCGCUGCACUCCUCCCAAGUUAGCUCCUUUGGGACGCCGAGCGCCUCCUUCACCUCGUCCCUGUUGAGGAAGUCGCCAACAAUGGCGGUUUGGUAGGGUUUCUUCUUGGUUAGGUCGUAGAGGGUCGCCAAACCGGUGGCGUUCUGGAGCCACUCGAGCACCUUGCCGCGCGCGUCGGACGCCUCGGCCCAUUUCUCCGCGAGGGUCAGGUUCACCGCGGCGCCCUGAAGGUGUUCGAGGAAACGCCGCUGCCGCUCGUUGAUGAGCCCGGAGAAGUACGCGGAGGCGGCGUGCGUGGCCACCUGCGCGGCGGGGUGGGUGAGCCCGUUCCCGACCGCGACGCCGCGGAGGUUGACGCGGCGGCUCGGCGGCGCCCGCGCGCUCCACGCCGCGAUGAGGGCGCCCGCGGCGGGGACGUACUUGCCCGCGUAGCUCUCGCCCGUGAGGAAGAGGGGCCGCGCGCGGAGCGUGGCGUUGCGCGCGAGGAACCCCUGGAGCGCGCCCCAGAGGUGCGCGGCGACGGUGGGCUGGUCGCGGGGGAUCGCCGCGGCGUCGGCGGCGGAGCUGAAGCCGGAGCCGAGGGGGUUGUCGACGAAGAGGAGCCCGAAGCGGCGGUUCCAGGAGAAGGGGUUGGGGCGGAGGGAGGGUUCGUCGGAGGGGGAGAGGAGCCAUGGGCCGAGCUCGAAGAGGUUGCCGAGCAUGGAGGAGCAACCAGGGCCACCCUGGAGCCAGAGAAGGAUUGGGGUGGAGGCGAGCGGGGAGAGGGGGAGUUGCGCUUCGUAGAAGGCGAAGAAGAGCGCUGGGGAAGAGGACGAGGAGGAGAUGGGGAGGUACCCGGACAUGGUGGGGCGAGCUUCGAGGGGGAAGAGGGAGGAGGACGAGGACGAGGACGAGGACGAGGAGGAGAUGAAGAGGAGGAGGAAGAAGAUGAAGCGCACGAGCGCCAUGAGCGAGUGAGAGAGAGUGCGGUGUUGACUUUGGAGAGCAUCGUGUGAGAGGUGAAUCAUGAUUCAUGAAUGGUGUGGGUCAAAUUGCACGUUAGCCCCUCUACGAUUCAGAUUUUACGAGUUGCUCUCUUUUAAUUUUCACUCAAACAACUUAUUAGUCUCCCAACAACAACGCCUUGCUAAGAAAAUCUCGAUUGGCUCUUAUAUGUUAGGAUUUAUUUUUUAUUUACUUUUUUUUAGAGUUUUAGCAUUAAAAACUAAUAACUAUUGAUCUAUUAUCCUAUCAUAAAUAAAAUAAUAAAAAUAAUUAAAUUAUAAACCAGUAAAAUACUAAAGGAUCAAUCCUCCAAAAAUCACUAAAGAAUACAUUGCUAACCUUAUUUUUUUUUCUUUUUCAGUCCUCCGAUUAAAAGUUAAGUGAAAAAUUAAAAAAAAAGAAAGUAAAAGAGCAAAUUCGAUCAAAAGUAUGCUUUUUGCUAAUUGAAUUGUUGAUACAACUGGUAUAAUAUGAUUUUUUUUUUUUAACCCGGACAAAUAUAUUAGAUUACAAUUAACUUUAUUUAGAACUAAAGUUACUAAAGUGUAAUGUAUGCGAAAAUGAAAAAAACAAAGUUUUUAAAUAAAAAGUAUGAGAACCUGGUUGUUAUAUGAGGAUAUUACAGUGACUAGGGAUAAUUACCAAUAUAUCUCUCAAAAUUUCAAAAAUAUUUAAUUUACUUCUAAAUUUUUUAUUUCUAAUAUACCUUCAUAUAUUCCUCCGUUAUUCAAAAAUAUCCCCACAGUUAUCGUCCGUUAAGUUAUUUGGGGUUAAACGUAAGUUAAAUGUCUACCAAAGUUUUAAAAAAAUUAAAAUACCUCUUUUGUCUUUAAUUUAAGGGCAAAUAAGAAAAGUUGGUGAUGGUAGAAGGGUAUAUUUGAAAUGCCAAAAUAGUAAUUUUAUAAAAAUAACGGUUAUCACCAAUAAUUCACUAGUAGAAUUUAACUCUAGAGAUAUAUUUAAAAUAACUUGGAACGUAAAAAUGGUAUUUUUAAUAUUAGCCUUUUAAGAGGAGUAUAUCAGAAAAUUAGAAACUUUUUAAGGUUAUGUAAGCAUUGCCCCUUAGAAAUAUAUAUAUAAGGAGAUCCAACUAUAGUAGUUGAAGAAAGUAACUUUAAAUAAGAGAUAAACUUACUUUCUUAAUUACUUUUUACACAAAAAAAUAUUUUUAUUUUUCAUAUUGGAGGUAAUCUCACCGCUAUAUAUAAAAAAUGAAAAAAUUUUACAAAUGCACUUUUCAACUGCAUGCAACCGAAUAAGUUAUUUAUAAUUACAGUACUUUCUACUUCAUCGGAGUGAGAUAUAUGUANUAACCCAAAUUAAUUUAACGGAUGAUAACUGCAUAUAUUUUUAAUUAUACUUUAUUUUUAAUGAGGGACAAUUGUUUAUAUACUCCUCAAAACUUCGAAAAUAUCUCAUUUACCCCUAUUUUUUUUUUCAAUAUACCCCUCAUAUGUUUUUCGUUAUUCCAAAAUACACAUGCAGUUAUCAUCCGUUAAAUUAAUUUGGGUUAAACGUGAGUUAAAUAUCUACUUGAGUUUAAAAAAAAAAUAAAAUACCUCUUUUGCCCUUAACUUAAGAGCAAAUAAGAAAUGUUGGUGAUGGUAGAAGAGUAUAUUUGAAAAUAUCAAAAAUCAAAAUGCUUUUUGUGCCCCUAUUUAAGGACAAAUAAGAAAAGUCAGUGAUGGUAGAAGGGUAUAUUUGAAAGGACAAAAUAGUAAUUUCAUACAGAUAACAGCUAUUGCUAACAGUUUAUUAACAGAAUUUAACUUUAGGAAUAUAUUUGAAAUAGGUUGGAACGUAAAAAGAAUAUUUUCAAUAUUAAUUUUCUAAGAUAAAUAAAUUAGAAAGUUGAAAAUUUUUUAAGAAUAUAUAAGUAAUUAACCCUUUUAAUUAUAUCAAAUCAAAAAGCCCCUUAAAAAAAAAAAACAGUUUUGUGUAUUAGACUUCGUUUGGAAUUGCCGGAGAUUGCGUUACAUGCAGUGAAAAACGACGAUAAAAAAAUAUCAUAUUUGUUUCCAUACGUAAUAUUGCGUUUCGCAUAUUACGGUUAGUCGUUACACUAAAUUGGCCUCAAUAUCAAACUAAGAUUUAAUUUGUUUCACUGAGCUCCACUAACUACUAGCCAGAGCACAUCUUAUAAGUCAAACAUAAGAGUGAAUGGUCCAAAGUGAUUAGGUAUUUGUUACUAAUAAUAAAUAAUAAAUGCAUAAUGAUUAAUGAUUUCUCUAACAUAUCGAUUACAUCUAAGCCAGCAAAGUUUUCUCAUCCUUGUCAAUUUGCCGGAUCCAAUCAUGAGUAAAAUAAAAGAAUGAUGGGUAAAAUAUAUGAGCACUCCUUGUAUUAUCCUCAUAUCACAACAAGGUUCUCAUUCUUUUCAUUUAAAAACUUUAUGUAUUUAUAUUUUUGCAUAUAUUAUUACACUUUAGUUUUAGACAGAGUUAAUUGUAUUCUAAUGUAUAUGGAUGGAGUUUUUUUAAAUAAAAAAAUCAUCUUAUACCAGUUGUAUCAACAAUUCAAUUAAGACGAAACUUAGUUUUAACUGAAUUUGCGCGCUCAUAAUUUGUUUAAUAUAUAUGAUCAAAGGGAAGCUAAGAAAAUAAUUUUUGGAGGCAAAAGAAAAGGUUUUUAUUAUUAUUUCUUUUGCUACCAAACAAAGUAUUUUAAAUAUAACGAUUGCAAGAAUAAAAAACUCCAGUCUCGUUGAGAAAACCCCUAUUCGUUUAUUCAAAAAUUUAUUGGUGCUUUUUAAUACUAAAAUUUAAAAAAAUAAAAAAAUAAAUUUUAUGGAGAGGAGGAUUAUAAUCAUUGUGUAGAGAUAAAAUUGAUAUAGGACAGCGAAUCGGAGUCUUCUCAACCAGACUUUGUUGGGAUUCCAAGUUAUUUGAGGGCAAAUUAAAAGGUACCGACUCAGAAAACGCAAAUAGUAGAGGGUCUACCGAUGCAAUUUGACCGAUAAGAAGCAACAUUCACCUCUCGCAACGCACUCUUUCACUCUCUCAUGGCGCUCGUGCACUUCAUCUUCUUCCUCCUCCUCAUCCCCUUCAUCUCCUCGUCCUCUUCCUCUUCCUCCCUCUUCCCGCUCGAAGCUCGCCCCACCAUGUCCGGGUACCUCCCCAUCUCCUCCUCCUCCUCCUCCUCUUCCCCAGCGCUCUUCUUCGCCUUCUACGAAGCGCAAUUCCCCCUCUCCCCGCUCUCCUCCACCCCCAUCCUCCUCUGGCUCGAGGGCGGCCCCGGUUGCUCCUCCAUGCUCGGCAACCUCUUCGAGCUCGGCCCAUGGCUCCUCUCCCCCUCCGACGAACCCUCCCUCCGCCCCAACCCCUUCGCCUGGAACCGCCGCUUCGGGCUCCUCUUCGUCGACAACCCCCUCGGCACCGGCUUCAGCUCCGCCGCCGACGCCGCGGCGAUCCCCCGCGACCAGCCCACCGUCGCCGCGCACCUCUGGGGCGCGCUCCAGGGGUUCCUCGCGCGCAACGCCACGCUCCGCGCGCGGCCCCUCUUCCUCACGGGCGAGAGCUACGCGGGCAAGUACGUCCCCGCCGCGGGCGCCCUCAUCGAGGCGCGGAACGCGCGCGCGCCGCCGAGCCGCCGCGUCAACCUCCGCGGCGUCGCGGUCGGGAACGGGCUCACCCACCCCGCCGCGCAGGUCGCCACGCACGCCGCCUCCGCGUACUUCUCCGGGCUCAUCAACGAGCGGCAGCGGCGUUUCCUCGAACACCUUCAGGGCGCCGCGGUGAACCUGACCCUCGCGGAGAAAUGGGCCGAGGCGUCCGACGCGCGCGGCAAGGUGCUCGAGUGGCUCCAGAACGCCACCGGUUUGGCGACCCUCUACGACCUAACCAAGAAGAAACCCUACCAAACCGCCAUUGUUGGCGACUUCCUCAACAGGGACGAGGUGAAGGAGGCGCUCGGCGUCCCAAAGGAGCUAACUUGGGAGGAGUGCAGCGCGGAGGUCGCAGAGGCCAUGCACGAGGACGUGAUGAAGAGCGUCAAAUCCAUGGUGGAGGAGCUCCUGACAAAGGUCAGGGUUUUGCUGUACCAGGGGGUGUUCGAUCUCAGGGACGGGGUGGUGUCGACGGAGGCGUGGGUGAGGGAGAUGGAGUGGGGAGGGUUGGAGAGCUUCUUGGGUGCGGAGAGGAAGGUGUGGGAGGUGGAUGGGGAGCUCUUCGGGUACAUGCAGCGGUGGGGGCCAUUGAGCCAUGUGGUGGUUUCCGGGGCCGGGCACCUGGUCCCAGCCGAUCAGGGCGCCGCUGCGCAGGCCAUGAUCGAGGAUUGGGUGAUGGAGAAGGGAUUGUUUAGUAAUGGCGACACGACGACGAAGAAGAAGAAGAAGAAGAAGAAGAACAACAACAACAACAAGAAGGAAAAGGAUGAUAUAUUGAGGGGAUCUUAUCGACCAAUAUCUUUUUGAAAAUGCAGUAGCUCGCGAAUUCCUUCGCAUUAAAACUAAGUAUCUUUACUAUCUUCUACGAAUUGUAUAAUAAUGAUUAUUAAGUGAUGGAGCGAAUAAGGAUAGUUACGUAUCGCGCAUAGCAUCUUUCAGAAAAAGCAGUACCUGGGCUUUCUUCUUAUCAAGGCUCAGAUAUGUAUUUUUCUCGCUCUUGUAUGUAUGUAUGUAUACUGUAUAGUUGUAAACUAGUGCCAUUAGUUGGAGGCAUGAGUUUUCCAAACCAAAAAUAAACUAUUAACAGGUUAUUUGAUUGUGAUUAUAAUUUCGAAAUUCAAAUUUUCCUCCGCAGAUGUAUUUUCAUUCUUCCGGUGUAUCGACCGGUGGAAACAACUCGAGGAUGAGGAGUUAUCGAUCUGAAUAAUUAUUUUGCCUGAACAACUUCUCGAUUCGAGAAGUAAAAGCCAAGUGCGUGGCGCCUCAAGUUUCAAAAGCUUCUUGCUCGCGUCGGAAGCUGAAUCAGUAGGCCUCUAGGCUCCAAAAGUGAUGCUUGUUUCUGUCAUUAGUGUAAAGUUUGGAGAUUCCUGAACAGAUCUAACACGAACAGCAGUUCGGCAAAACUUCCGACCGGGCCAAACAGACCCUAAACUUGCUCAAUACUGCUUCUAUGAAUGAUUCAUUGCGGCGGUCCUUUGUGGCAUAGUUUCGACUCGACACAACUUACGAAUCGAAUCAUUCAUGCUUUAAAAGGAGCCCCUGGUGAAAAUGGUCAGAUCCGCACCAGCGGUACCGCACAAACUCAUCGACUUACUCUUGCUUUCAUAUAAUCAUAUUUCACACUCGGUAGAGUUAUCACUGUUUUUGGCAUACUUCAAGGUUCUUUUGAAAGCUAAAUUAUAGAAAACUUUUCUAUCAAAAUCUGAUUUUUUACUUUUCCUUCCUGUCAUUUAAAAACUUACACUUUAUCCCUCUAAAAAAUAAAAAAUAUUCACUUUGGACUCCGCCGUUAGCAUUCCAUUAGGGUUCCGUCUAUAUCUCAUUAUUAUAUAUUUUUUUUAUAUCGAAAAUAUCCUUCUGCAAAUAAAGGAGGGUUAGGGGAGGAGAGGAAGAGGGAGAGGACAUUUUGGUCAUUUUAUCAAUACUAUUAACACCGUACCCCUUUGUGAAUAUUUUUUAUUUUUUAGGGGGAGGAAAGUGUAGGUUUUUAAAUGACGGAUAGGAAAAGUAAAAAUCGAGUUUUGAUAGGAGGAUUUUCUGUAAUUUAGCCGAAUUGCUUAAUCAUAAAUGUCCGUGUAUUUCGAUCAAACAUUUCAGUUUUUAGUGAAAAAGAGAAAACCAUUUUCAAAUGCAAAUUUCUUAGAUAUGCAAUCAGACUUGGUACAUCAAAGAUAACCAAGUAAAUAUUGAAAAGUUUCUGCUAAGCUAUUAAAAUAUUCGAAUUCAAAGUUCAAAUUGAAACUCAUUAUUAAAAUUAAAUUUAAAUAGCAAAUUUAAAUUUGAAUUUGAAUUUCAAAUUAAAAUUUUAAAUUUUAAAUUUAAAUUUCAGUCAAUAAUUUGAAUUUAUAGUUGGAGCAGCUUGACUUUAAAGUUCAAAUUGAAGUUCUUAGCUAAAAAUAAUUUGAUGAAAAUUUAAAUUUAAAUUCUAGAAUUCAAAUCUAAAUAAAAGUAAAUAUCUAAAAAUUUAAGUUUAAACAUAAAGUCACAAAUUUGAAUUUAAAAAUUUUAUUUUGAAUUUAAAUUUACAAAUAAAAUUUAGAAUGUGACUAUGAUAUUAAUUCAAACUUAAGGUAAAAUUUAACUUUAAAAAUAAAUUCAAAAAUUAAGUUAAUACCAAAUAUAACCCCUUAGCUAAGCUAUCCAUUUUCGGUGACUUUCGAAUUUUUUGACCGAAGUCAAAAAAGUAUGAUUUAGUUAUAACUCACUUUAUUAGUCUACUUUUAUAAAGUGACUUUUAUAUCUUUCGCAAACCAAAUAAUCGAUAAGAUGUCAUUUUUUAAAAGUGUCACUUUUGGUGCUUCACUUUCGGUUAACCAAACAUGCUCCAAAUUCGGUUUAUUUUCUCUUAAAAAAUAAAAUAAAAUAAAAUAAAAUAAAAUUAGGAGGCAAUUUCGGAAUUUUGUUUAGUUGAGGGGGUUUUCCAUACAUUUUUGUCCAUCCUAUCCAAAUAAAUCCGACCGUUUGGAGCGCGAAACCCCUUCACGCAUCGUCUCCCUCGCCCAUGUCGAUGCUUCUACGCUCUUCGCCCCUCUCCCCUCCCCUCUCCCGAAACCCUAAACCCUUCCCCCUCCCCCUCCGAACCCAUCUCCCCAUCUCCCCCUCUCUUCGCUCGACCCCCCUCGCCUCCUCCCCCUCCUCUCGUCGCCUUGCGCCGCCUUCGAGCUCAGGUACGCCGCCCUUCUCCGCCGCACCUUCGCUAUGGCUCCAAUCAGCUCAAACCCUAGCAGGUUUCGUUAGGGUUUGCGUCAACCUUUUCCAAUUCUUCUUCCAGGGUCUCCGGUGGUUGCCGAGGCGGUAAUUGGGUCUGGAAAUGGUGAGGACGAGGAGGGGGAGGAGGAGCCGAAGUAUGUGGAGGUUGGAUAUAUAAGUAGCGCUCACGGGCUCAGAGGGGAGGUUCGGGUGAUGCCCAGCACGGAUUUUCCCGAACUUCGAUUCGCCAAGGUACUCGUGAUGGAAGAGGGGAAAUUUUGGUUUUUUUUUUGGGGGCACAAAAUUUUGGGUCUUUUUGUUGGUUUUGGAUCGAUUUAGAGUUGUUUUGGUGUAAUUUUGAUGUUGUAGCCAGGGAAAAGGUGGUUGAGAACGCGUGCGGCGGGGAAAGAGGUGAUUAAAGAAGUGGAGCUCACAGGAGGAAGGGGACACCCUGGACAAAAGAGUUGGAUUAUCAGCUUUAGUGGGAUCGACACCGUCGAAGAGGUUUGCAAGCUUACUUGCUUUUGCAAUUGGUUGCUUUCGAAUCACGUGGAUCAGAAUCAUAAUCCAAGUUGCAAAUAUGUUUCACUAUUGGGAGGUUAAUUCCAAUAUUAUGAUGUUGAGUAUCCAUUGUGACCUCCAUUUACCAUUGUGAUGUAGGCAAGGCAAAUAGUUGGUUCAUCUUUACUCGUAACAGUACGAGACAGACCAGAAUUGGAGGAAGGCGAAUUCUACACUCGUGAUCUUGUUGGCAUGAGAGUUAUUCUCAAGGUCUGUGCUUUUCUUUAUCUAUCUCAUUUAUUCUUAUUAUAUGCUUACAACUAACAAGCUAGGAAAUCAAGAAAUGCAGUUUUGUUGAAAAGCUUUCCCUUUUCACACCAUUUAACCGUUUGUUCACACAAACUUUGUAUUUGACAAUAUGUUUUCUAAAAUCAGCAACUAUUUCAAUAAAAAAGAGUAUCAUGUGGUGUGAAAGAAAUAAGAUAAAGAAAUAGGUAUACCCAAUCUUAGUAAUUUAUGUAUUUAUUUAUUUUCUUUUUUCUCGAGAUAUAAAUUAUCGACUUCUCUUAUUUCAUUGACAUGUAUAUUUCACCUCUACUCAGGAAACUGGCAAGCUAGUGGGUACAGUAGCAAAUGUUUUCAAUUAUGGCGCUAGUGAUCUUCUGCAUGUAAGGCUUCAUUCAGCUGAAGAGCGACCACAUCAGUCUAAUUUAUUGGAUCCAGAUGACAGUUCUUCAGCUCCGCACAUAUGGAUUCCAUUUGUCGAGGCAAUCGUUCCCGAUGUUGAUGCGGACAGGAGAGAAAUGCAGAUUACACCUCCAAAAGGCCUUCUUGAGCUGAAUUUACGUUCUGACGUGAGAUCAAAGAAAGAAAGACGCCAGAUGGUUAGGUCUGCUCCUCCUCAUAGGAUUUAAGCUAUAUGCUAAGAAAUUGUUUUGUACCUUUUUUUUCAGGCGAUUGUCGUUUCUUAUCGAGUGAUUUCCAUUUCUUCACUCUUUCCUCCUUUCAUGUAUAGUGAGAUAAAGAUAAAGAUGCCAUUUCUAAUCUUGGUACUCGAUUUACAUUUUACUUCUUAUUCUUUUGUUGUUUAUGGUGCCUGAUAAAUGUAGAAACUUUUGUUUUCUUCUAUAACAUGAUCAAUUUUUCCAUGUUCUACUGAAAGCAACUAUUGCUUUCUAGAGUUUAUAUUGACACUACCUUGUGUUCGCAUAAAAGAGAAGUAUUUUUUUUCUAGUUCUAACACUGAUACCAGUUUUGUGAAUUCUUGCAGGAAUGGAAGGAAAAAAGGAAGUUACAGCAACGCUUAGUUGCAACCAAAAAGAUCCUUGCUGCAUUAGACCAAAAGCAUAUUCUGGAGGGAUUAAGAAUUGGAGAGAAGAACCAAAAGACUUCUCUUGCGAAGCAGCUCACAAGCAUUGACUUCAGAUUGUUUCAACAGGCAAUACAAAAUAUUAACAAACCAUUUAUAAGGUGAACAGGUUUUGUCCUUUUAGUUUGCUUUCUUUUCCCACCUUAUACAAAAAUCUGGUUUUCCAUCCUAGUUAUAAUAUCCUAAAACUAUCCAAGAAGCUCUAUAAUCUUCUAGAUAAUAGCUUUUCCUGGUUGUUUAUUAUGUAUAACUAAUUUUAGUCUUCAAUAUGUAUAAAUUAUUUUAGAUAUGCUUAUUCUUCAUAUGUAGCUGACUAAUUCAUUAUUUCCGUCUAAGUCGGUUUAAAGUUAUAUGAUCCGGAGAAUUAUACCCUGUUAUGUGUACUUUGGUUGUGACAUAAGGUGAUCUGUGACAUGUUAAAAAUUGAACUGAUUGUGUCAUCUAUGCUUACUAUUUUACUACCAUCUUUUUGUUCUCCUUUUCUCAUCUAACUUUUGCUUAUGAAACUUGAAACAGCUACAGCUUGUCAGAGUAUAUUAAUGCUAAUUCUUCUGCAUUGCUGGAGAAUCCAAUGAGAAUCUCUCAUCAAUGUCUCGUUACCGGUGAAAGUGAAGGGAAUAAUAACAUGAAUUAUGAAUUGCGGAAAGUGGGAUUACAACUCCUUAGAAACUCUAAAGUUGCUAUUAUACUUAUUAGACAUGAGAAGGAUGACGUUGAAAGGGGAUCUGAGACUGAUGAUGUUCGUGUUGAAUCUGCGGUCAUCCAGUUUCAGAAAUUGUUUAACAAUCUUAAUAUAUUUCUUAAGGUACGUAAUUAUCAAUUAUAGUUAAAGACUACCAUAUUACUUCACCACCACAUAGCAAGCAAACCUUUUUUGCAGCUAGGUCCAUUCGUCUUCAUUGUUGAACUACCAUACUGAUUCAUAACAUUUUUGUAUUGCCUAUUUGUUUUGCCCUAAUAUACUUGCAAUUUAUCUAAGUCUCAAGUUACUUUUACCAUUUUUCAUGCAUUUAACUUCUGUUGAGUGUAGUGUGAACAUCCAAUGUAGCAACAGGGUAUGUUGGUGGAGACGGCCAUGAAUAAUUUAGACUUGAUUUUCCUGGUAUUGCUUUUCUAGUGCAGAAGACUAGUCUGCUUCUCCAUUGGCAAUUUAGUAAAAUAAAAUUAACGUUAAUAUUGCUGAUAGUUGUUUCAUUCAGAUUAGGUAGGCCAUCACCUAGUUAUAGUCUACCAAAAUAUUGUCCUAAGAGCGAGAGUACAUAAGAAAUCAACUACAUGAUAUGCUAAUUUCCCCUUCUCCUUUCCAGUAAUCUUCUUCUUGUUGUUGUCGGCUUAUCAUUGCAAACUUAAUAAUAGUCAGAGAAACUCAAACUUUUUGUUGAUUGUAGUGUUUUUAACUAGUUUACCUCAACUAUCAUUUCCUUUUCGUUUUGAGAAUCAUACUCAUAAUUCAUGAUAAGAUGGACAUGCUUUUUUUUGGAAAAUAUUCAUUUUUGAAGGAUUCCUGUGAUAGGAGGAAGAAAACAAUGCAAGUGUUCCGUUCAUUUUGGUUUCUCCAGCUCGUGAGAUCGAGUCAUAUAAAGAGUGCCUAGUGGACAAUGACUAUUUUGGGUUAAAUAGUCAGAAGGUAAAAAAUCACUUAUGUUAGUACAUCAUCGCCAGCCCCUUAUAAGCCUUCUUUUUGGAAUUCUCAUGCUUGAAUAUUUUUUUUUUCUUUAUUUGCAUGUUUUUGGCAUAUUUCUGGCAUUUUGCUUCAAAAAGUAAUUUAUGUAUGAGAGUCAACAAAUAUAAAAAAGCCAAAAAAAUAUAAUGACUAAUUUGCGUGAAACAGAAGUCCAUGGUUCACAAAUCUGACUAGCGCUUUAGUUAAUCUUCCAGUGGCUAGACAUUCAUUCUUGUUCUUGCAUUUAGCAUAUUACUCAAACUAGUGCUCCGAUAGAUUAUCAUCCGGGCUUCGGAUCCGUCUGAAAAUUUUCCAUUACAAAGUUUGCUCAAUGUGAUCCAACUUUUUUAGUUAAAACAGAAAUUGGGAUCAUGGAUCUCGUUAUAAGUGGUAUACUCAGAUCACAUUAUGUUACUAAGAAUGUUGUAAGUUAUUAACCGAGUCUCAGAAUUCUUACCUGUGAUACGUAAUCUAAGCAUUAUAUCUUCUAACUACUACAUUUUCUCUCUCCAUUUAACAGGUGUGGGUUUUGGAAGAAGAGAAGUUACCAAUCGUCAAUAUUUCCCCAGUGGAAAACAGCCAUGAAAUCCUGUUGAAGUCUCCUUGGGAGAUUCUCCGAGCACCAAUUGGACCGGGAGGAAUUUUCAGUUUGCUUUCAUCCCAUAAAAUAAUUGAUGCCCUUAAUGAAUUCGGCGUAGAAUAUGUGCAGGUUAGACAAUAUAUAUUUCGCUUCUUUUUUAUUUAAUGUGUUAGAAAAUUUUUAUAGUAAGUUACAUCGACUUGAUUAUUUGUCAUUGUCAAAUGUCAUUGAAUCUACCGUCUGCAAGAUAAACAAGUGACUUAUGAAACAUAGAUGAGAUAUAGAUGAUCUUACAAAUUUAAAACAGAACUGUGACCAUAAGUUGAUCUUAGUAUCAUUUCCCUUCACUGUUUCUUGUACAUAUCGGUCACGAAACAUUUUCAAACUUACAGGUUGAGUCUGGAUAAACAGGUUUUCUUUUUUAUGGGUAUUUUGACAAAUUCAACACUCAUCACAUGAAAAUUCACAAGUAGAAUACUAGCGUUCAUUUCCAUCUUAGUUUCCAGAAUCAAGAAGAAGUCUUGAGUUAAAUUUUGGAAGCUCCAUGAAGGGGCUCUAGAGUUGAUAUUAGCAUAUAAAUCUGUGUAAUAUCAAAUGCCAGCAUGUUAUCUCUCUUUUGAUUUGCAUUUGCCGGACAUCGCAGGAGUGAUCGUUAUCUUUCUAGAAUUUGUCCUCUCGAAAAUUUUGCAUGAGACUGAGUAGGCUAGGAGCAUAGCCCUGACCCUUGAAAAAAAAGGUCUCUCGGAACAUUUUAGACUCGUCUAAAAGUUGGAAACAGAUGACACGCCUACUUUUGGGCGGCCAAUUCAGGCCUACCAAUUUAGAGUACAGAAAAAAAAAAAAGAAAAAAGAAAAAAAAAGAAGCAUUUCUUUCAUUAGUAUGAAAGUGAACUCUUAUUUUCGGGAUCCAUUUGUAACUUUAAUUGUAAAUGUUU
rnacentral:lncRNA from 1 species